UGUAACAAGGUCUCCGUUGGUGAACCAGCGGAGGGAUCAUUACCGAGUUUACAACUCCCAAACCCCUGUGAACAUACCACUUGUUGCCUCGGCGGAUCAGCCCGCUCCCGGUAAAACGGGACGGCCCGCCAGAGGACCCCUAAACUCUGUUUCUAUAUGUAACUUCUGAGUAAAACCAUAAAUAAAUCAAAACUUUCAACAACGGAUCUCUUGGUUCUGGCAUCGAUGAAGAACGCAGCAAAAUGCGAUAAGUAAUGUGAAUUGCAGAAUUCAGUGAAUCAUCGAAUCUUUGAACGCACAUUGCGCCCGCCAGUAUUCUGGCGGGCAUGCCUGUUCGAGCGUCAUUUCAACCCUCAAGCACAGCUUGGUGUUGGGACUCGCGUUAAUUCGCGUUCCCCAAAUUGAUUGGCGGUCACGUCGAGCUUCCAUAGCGUAGUAGUAAAACCCUCGUUACUGGUAAUCGUCGCGGCCACGCCGUUAAACCCCAACUUCUGAAUGUUGACCUCGG
rnacentral:rRNA from 1 species